GAUGCCACUGUGACUAUGUUAUUCUUGCCAUCUCAUGCCAUCCAUGUGAACCCAAACAGCAUGGAACAGAGAGAGAGAGAGAGAGAGAGAGAGAGACAGAACGAGCAAAAUCUAUAUCUAGAUAUAAGUACGUUUAACUGAAGAAGGUGACUGCACUGUGUGGCGGUACUUCAGUAACAUCAUGCAGCUUUCUAAUGAUGUGAAUUAGCAUGCCUAUCAUUGUAACACUACAGGACUCACCCUGAAGAUGCCAAGCUUAUAUGCUCCAUUACCCCAGGACCUCAUUGGAAAUGGUAUCUGGACUCCGGAUUAUAGAAAGUCGGUGACAAUGAUCUGAAAUAUCUCCUGCAGUGUAAUGAUGAUACUAAGCCGAUAACCAUGACAAAGGGGCAUCCUCUGCUUCUAGAAGAAAGGUUUCACCAUCAUCACAGACAGAUUCUUUACUGUAAGAGCAGUGAGACUAUGGAACUAUCUGCCACAUGAUGUUGUGAUGUCUGACUCAAUAAUCAAGUUCAA